AUGUCGUACGGGAGGCAGCAGUAGGGAAUCUUCCACAAUGGACGAAAGUCUGAUGGAGCAACGCCGCGUGAGUGAAGAAGGGUUUCGGCUCGUAAAGCUCUGUUGGUAGUGAAGAAAGAUAGAGGGAGUAACUGACCUUUAUUUGACGGGAAUUACUUAGAAAGUCACGGCUAACUACGUGCCAGCAGCCGCGGUAAUACGUAGGUGGCAAGCGUUGUCCGGGUUUAUUGGGCGUAAAGCGAG
rnacentral:rRNA from 1 species